UCGGCCAUCAUGCUGGCCCCGGAGGCCGUUAGCUUAGUCAUGGCUCUAAAUAUGUACCUGCAAUCGGAUGUUGAGGAUCACCGAGCCCGCGACGUAGAAGUACGGGAAGUUCAUGCGCAGCUGCCAGGCCAGCUCGAAGAAGGCGAGCAGGGUGCGGGAGAGCCCCUUGCAGAAGACGCCGUACGAGUUUCUCCAGCAUUUGGCUCUAGGUGCCAAGGGCACAUGUGACAAGAAGGUGCCAGCUUUAUAAACCUUGUAACUUCUUCUGUGUCAGUUCUGAGACAUACAAUUUACUAAAACACAUCAUGAAGGCCUGUUUUGAAGAGAAGGGGAAUAAGACUGCAUCUGUUCAUAUGAGGUUCUCCAGCAUUUGGCUCAAGGCCCCAAGGGCACAUGUGACAAGAAGGCGCCGGCUUUUUAAACAUUGGAAGUUCUUCUGUGUCAGUUCUGUGACAGAACAUUUACUUAACACAUCAUGAAGGCUAGUUUGGAUGUGGAGGGGAAUAGACUCCAUCUAUCCAUAUGAGGUGAGUC
rnacentral:misc_RNA from 1 species